rnacentral:rRNA from 1 species
UACGUAGGGUGCAAGCGUUGUCCGGAAUUAUUGGGCGUAAAGCGCACGUAGGCGGCCUUGUAAGUCGGAUGUGAAAUCCCUCGGCUUAACCGAGGACGUGCAUCCGAAACUGUGAGGCUCGAGUAUGGAAGAGGGUCGCAGAAUUCCCGGUGUAGAGGUGAAAUUCGUAGAUAUUCGGAAGAACACCAGUGGCGAAGGCGACUUACUGGACACAUAUUGACGCUGAGGUGCGAAAGCGUGGGGAGCAAACAGG